rnacentral:tRNA from 1 species
AUCUAGGUAGUUUAAAAAAACCGUCGGUUUGUGAAUUCGAAAAUGUGUGUAUACACCUUAGAUA